rnacentral:rRNA from 1 species
AUUGAACGCUGGCGGCAGGCUUAACACAUGCAAGUCGAGCGGGGAAAAGGAGCUUGCUACUGGACCUAGCGGCGGACGGGUGAGUAAUGCUUAGGAAUCUGCCUAUUAGUGGGGGACAACAUCUCGAAAGGGAUGCUAAUACCGCAUACGUCCUACGGGAGAAAGCAGGGGACCUUCGGGCCUUGCGCUAAUAGAUGAGCCUAAGUCGGAUUAGCUAGUUGGUGGGGUAAAGGCCUACCAAGGCGACGAUCUGUAGCGGGUCUGAGAGGAUGAUCCGCCACACUGGGACUGGGACACGGCCCAGACUCCUACGGGAGGCAGCAGUGGGGAAUAUUGGACAAUGGGGGGAACCCUGAUCCAGCCAUGCCGCGUGUGUGAAGAAGGCCUUUUGGUUGUAAAGCACUUUAAGCGAGGAGGAGGCUACCGAGAUUAAUACUCUUGGAUAGUGGACGUUACUCGCAGAAUAAGCACCGGCUAACUCUGUGCCAGCCGCCGCGGUAAAAC